GGUUAAGCGACUAAGCGUACACGGUGGAUGCCCUGGCAGUCAGAGGCGAUGAAGGACGUGCUAAUCUGCGAUAAGCGUCGGUAAGGUGAUAUGAACCGUUAUAACCGGCGAUUUCCGAAUGGGGAAACCCAGUGUGUUUCGACACACUAUCAUUAACUGAAUCCAUAGGUUAAUGAGGCGAACCGGGGGAACUGAAACAUCUAAGUACCCCGAGGAAAAGAAAUCAACCGAGAUUCCCCCAGUAGCGGCGAGCGAACGGGGAGCAGCCCAGAGCCUGAAUCAGUGUGUGUGUUAGUGGAAGCGUCUGGAAAGGCGCGCGAUACAGGGUGACAGCCCCGUACACAAAAAUGCACAUGCUGUGAGCUCGAUGAGUAGGGCGGGACACGUGGUAUCCUGUCUGAAUAUGGGGGGACCAUCCUCCAAGGCUAAAUACUCCUGACUGACCGAUAGUGAACCAGUACCGUGAGGGAAAGGCGAAAAGAACCCCGGCGAGGGGAGUGAAAAAGAACCUGAAACCGUGUACGUACAAGCAGUGGGAGCACAGAGCAAUCUGUGUGACUGCGUACCUUUUGUAUAAUGGGUCAGCGACUUAUAUUCUGUAGCAAGGUUAACCGAAUAGGGGAGCCGAAGGGAAACCGAGUCUUAACUGGGCGUUAAGUUGCAGGGUAUAGACCCGAAACCCGGUGAUCUAGCCAUGGGCAGGUUGAAGGUUGGGUAACACUAACUGGAGGACCGAACCGACUAAUGUUGAAAAAUUAGCGGAUGACUUGUGGCUGGGGGUGAAAGGCCAAUCAAACCGGGAGAUAGCUGGUUCUCCCCGAAAGCUAUUUAGGUAGCGCCUCGUGAAUUCAUCUCCGGGGGUAGAGCACUGUUUCGGCAAGGGGGUCAUCCCGACUUACCAACCCGAUGCAAACUGCGAAUACCGGAGAAUGUUAUCACGGGAGACACACGGCGGGUGCUAACGUCCGUCGUGAAGAGGGAAACAACCCAGACCGCCAGCUAAGGUCCCAAAGUCAUGGUUAAGUGGGAAACGAUGUGGGAAGGCCCAGACAGCCAGGAUGUUGGCUUAGAAGCAGCCAUCAUUUAAAGAAAGCGUAAUAGCUCACUGGUCGAGUCGGCCUGCGCGGAAGAUGUAACGGGGCUAAACCAUGCACCGAAGCUGCGGCAGCGACGCUUAUGCGUUGUUGGGUAGGGGAGCGUUCUGUAAGCCUGUGAAGGUGUGCUGUGAGGCAUGCUGGAGGUAUCAGAAGUGCGAAUGCUGACAUAAGUAACGAUAAAGCGGGUGAAAAGCCCGCUCGCCGGAAGACCAAGGGUUCCUGUCCAACGUUAAUCGGGGCAGGGUGAGUCGACCCCUAAGGCGAGGCCGAAAGGCGUAGUCGAUGGGAAACAGGUUAAUAUUCCUGUACUUGGUGUUACUGCGAAGGGGGGACGGAGAAGGCUAUGUUGGCCGGGCGACGGUUGUCCCGGUUUAAGCGUGUAGGCUGGUUUUCCAGGCAAAUCCGGAAAAUCAAGGCUGAGGCGUGAUGACGAGGCACUACGGUGCUGAAGCAACAAAUGCCCUGCUUCCAGGAAAAGCCUCUAAGCAUCAGGUAACAUCAAAUCGUACCCCAAACCGACACAGGUGGUCAGGUAGAGAAUACCAAGGCGCUUGAGAGAACUCGGGUGAAGGAACUAGGCAAAAUGGUGCCGUAACUUCGGGAGAAGGCACGCUGAUAUGUAGGUGAAGUCCCUCGCGGAUGGAGCUGAAAUCAGUCGAAGAUACCAGCUGGCUGCAACUGUUUAUUAAAAACACAGCACUGUGCAAACACGAAAGUGGACGUAUACGGUGUGACGCCUGCCCGGUGCCGGAAGGUUAAUUGAUGGGGUUAGCGGUAACGCGAAGCUCUUGAUCGAAGCCCCGGUAAACGGCGGCCGUAACUAUAACGGUCCUAAGGUAGCGAAAUUCCUUGUCGGGUAAGUUCCGACCUGCACGAAUGGCGUAAUGAUGGCCAGGCUGUCUCCACCCGAGACUCAGUGAAAUUGAACUCGCUGUGAAGAUGCAGUGUACCCGCGGCAAGACGGAAAGACCCCGUGAACCUUUACUAUAGCUUGACACUGAACAUUGAGCCUUGAUGUGUAGGAUAGGUGGGAGGCUUUGAAGUGUGGACGCCAGUCUGCAUGGAGCCGGCCUUGAAAUACCACCCUUUAAUGUUUGAUGUUCUAACGUUGGCCCCUGAUCGGGGUUGCGGACAGUGUCUGGUGGGUAGUUUGACUGGGGCGGUCUCCUCCUAAAGAGUAACGGAGGAGCACGAAGGUUGGCUAAUCCUGGUCGGACAUCAGGAGGUUAGUGCAAUGGCAUAAGCCAGCUUGACUGCGAGCGUGACGGCGCGAGCAGGUGCGAAAGCAGGUCAUAGUGAUCCGGUGGUUCUGAAUGGAAGGGCCAUCGCUCAACGGAUAAAAGGUACUCCGGGGAUAACAGGCUGAUACCGCCCAAGAGUUCAUAUCGACGGCGGUGUUUGGCACCUCGAUGUCGGCUCAUCACAUCCUGGGGCUGAAGUAGGUCCCAAGGGUAUGGCUGUUCGCCAUUUAAAGUGGUACGCGAGCUGGGUUUAGAACGUCGUGAGACAGUUCGGUCCCUAUCUGCCGUGGGCGCUGGAGAACUGAGGGGGGCUGCUCCUAGUACGAGAGGACCGGAGUGGACGCAUCACUGGUGUUCGGGUUGUCAUGCCAAUGGCACUGCCCGGUAGCUAAAUGCGGAAGAGAUAAGUGCUGAAAGCAUCUAAGCACGAAACUUGCCCCGAGAUGAGUUCUCCCUGACUCCUUGAGAGUCCUGAAGGAACGUUGAAGACGACGACGUUGAUAGGCCGGGUGUGUAAGCGCAGCGAUGCGUUGAGCUAACCGGUACUAAUGAACCGUGAGGCUUAACCUU
rnacentral:rRNA from 2 species